rnacentral:tRNA from 1 species
GGGGCCUUAGCUCAGCUGGGAGAGCGCCUGCUUUGCACGCAGGAGGUCAGCGGUUCGAUCCCGCUCGGGUAAA